UUUAAAACUCCAAAAGUGUUUAAAACUAUUUAUAAUAUAAUGAUAGGAUUAGAUAUAUAAAUUAUAAAAUGAUAAAACUUAUUUGUUAAAGGAAAAGCAUAGGAUGGAGGAAUAUGGCUGAAAUUAUUAAAUUUGUUUAACGUUAUUAUUAUCUUUUUUUCGUUUUUGUUUUGUUUCAACAAGUGUUCUCUUAUUUUCCUUAUAAUAUAUUUAUUGGGGUGCCUUUAAAUGAUUUGUGGUGGUCUUGGGAUGCCGUCUUAGAGAUGGAUUGUUGCUUCUUCCAUAUAAUGUUUUUGCAUUAUAAUUUUUACGAUUUUUUCUUUUCUAUUAUAAAAAGUUAUAAAAUAAUGGAAACUUACAAAGUGAAAAUAAAAAUAAAAAUUAAGAGAUUAAUAUUUUUUUAUGUGACAUCUUUACUAAUUAUGCUAAAGGGAAAAACAACAUAUUGAUGUACUUAAGUGACAUAUAAUGAGAAGGCUUUUUACAACCUCAAAAGUAUUUAAAACUAUUUAAUUCAUUAGGAGAGUAUUAACUUUAUAAAUUAGAAAGUGAUGAAACUAUGUGUUACAUGAAAAGGUCGGGGGAGGAAUAUGGCUGAAAUUAUCAAGUAUGUUUAUGGUAUGAUUAUUUUUAUUUUCCUUUUUCUUGUUUCAACGAAUGUUCACGCGGGUAUUAGAUGUGUGUUUCCUUCUGAUUGUCCAAGAACUAUGCGAUGUUUGUCCGAGUUUCAUCUGACGUGUAAAAAGAAACAAUGUAAAUGUGUUAAAAUGUUUGACCCAAUAAAUUUUGUGACCGCGUGAUUCUAUAUUUAGUGUCACAUUCGAGAGAGUACACAGACAACUUAUUAGAAUAUUUCAUGAGGUUUCAUUUUGUUUUGGUGUUGGCACCAAAUAAUUUUCUUUUAAAAUUUCAAGACAUGUAUAGUUAUUGCUUUGUACUCGAAGGUGAUGGUAAUGAAAAUAAGUAACAUUGUUUUGAUUGUCUUAUUCUCAAUUAA